rnacentral:rRNA from 1 species
UUGGUCCUACGGGGGGCAGCAGUAGGGAAUUUUCGUCAAUGGGCGCAAGCCUGAACGAGCAAUGCCGCGUGAACGAGGAAGGUCUUCGGAUCGUAAAGUUCUGUUGAAGGGGAAAAAGAGGGGAGAGAGGAAAUGGUCUCCGAUUGAUAUUACCCUUCGAGGAAGUCACGGCUAACUACGUGCCAGCAGCCGCGGUAAUACGGAGGAUGCGAGCGUUAUCCGGAUUUAUUGGGUUUAAAGGGUGCGCAGGCGGAAGCGCAAGUCAGCGGUAAAAUUGAGAGGCUCAACCUCUUCCCGCCGUUGAA